AGGAUGAAGGGCCACAAGGGAAGUGAGACACGGUCCCUACUCCUUAUUUAGGAGGGCAGCAGUGAGGAAUAUUCCGCAAUGGGAGAAACCCUGACGGAGCAAUACUACGUGAAGGAAGAAGGUCUAAGGAUUGUAAACUUCUUUACUUAAAUGUACUAGCCGUAAGGUUUUGCAUUUGAGCAAAAAGUCACGACUAACUAUGUGCCAGCAGUCGCGGUAAGACAUAGGUGACGAACGUUAUCCGGAAUUAUUGGGCGUAAAGGAUGCGUAGAUGGUUCGAUAAGUUACUAGUGGGAAAUCGAGGCCCAACCUCGUGGAAGCUGGUAAUACUGUCGAGCUUGAGUGCAGGAGAGGUUAACGGAACUUUAUGUGGAGCGGUAAAAUGCGUAGAUAUAUGAAAGAACACCGAUAUAGCGAAGGCAGUUAACUAUUCUGCUACUGACAUUGAGGCAUGAAAGCGUGGGGAGCAAAACGGAUUAGAUACCCGUGUAGUCCACGCCCUAAACGAUGAGUGCUAGAUAUUGGGAACUUGAUUCUCAGUGUCGCUAGGUAACCCGGUAAGCACUCCGCCUGGGGAGUACGCUCGCAAGAGUGAAACUCAAAGGAAUUGACG
rnacentral:rRNA from 1 species